AGUACAAUACACAUCCCUGAUCCGUCACGGGAAUCUGAGAGUAACGUCCCUUGCAUUGCUCUCCGGGAGAUGACAGGGAGGCGAGUUUGUCUUAUACGGAUGUAAACACGAGCGCGGAAGAUGUGGAAAUGAACAACAUUCAAAGUAAAUAUCCGUGCAAUGUGAUUCUAGCAUACAUUAACAUUAAUAGUUUGCGUUACAAAUUCAGUGCACUCAGUGAUGUGUUACAUAAUUCCCUCGCUGACAUCCUGAUCGUAGGCGAGACGAAACUAAACGACUCGUUCAAUCAGGCCCAUUUUGAAACCACAGGUUUCAGGGUUUUUAGGAAGGUUGGAACUGGACAUGGUGGUGGUCUCAUGUGUUUUGUUAAUUCCCACCUCCCCUGCAGAAGAAGACCAGAUCUUGAGUCAACUUUAGUCGAGAGCGUAGUAGUUGAGGUCACUAUUAAUAAUCCCUUCCGACCAGGAUUUGGGUGUCAAUCCACCCUGUUGCGACUUGUUGAGGAUUGGCGUAGAGCCCUGGACAACCAUGAGUAUGUCGCUGUCAUACUGAUGGACCUAUCCAAGGCUUUGACUGUCUUCCUCAUAACUUGUUGGUCGGGAAGCUGGAGACCUAUGGCCUGAGCAAAGCCUCAUGAUCAGUUAACCUGGCGUCCAUCUACCUGAGCAACAGGAAGUAGCAGAGAACACCAACUUGUUUGUUAUGACGCACACGAUGUCCUAAACAGUGACUCUACAAUAGCGACCCUCUGGACGGUGUUCAAGAAGGAAGGAAAUGUCAUCUACUUUAAAGCCAAGGUGAAUUCCCGUCGAAUUCCAUAUCAAGAAGUGGGAAGGUCUAGGCUGAAUUGGGGUAAUGGAGAGUAUUACUCACAUUGAUGUACAUGUAUAAUUAUGGUACAGGGUACACCGACUUGUCAGCUGUGACGCACACCAUGUCCUAGACAGUGACUCUACAAUGGCGUCCUCCUGAACGGUGUUCAAGAAGGAAGGAAAAUUCAACUACUGAAAAGCCAGGGUAUUUCUAUAAGAUAAACUUCCUGGUUGCGACUGAUACUCCUUGUGUCAGCAAUAAUAUUGAAGCAGGAGGUGAAGUAAGUCAGGACACAACUAUCAUAGUAUAUUUAGGCGCGGUAAAUAUCUAUCAUCGAAAACCAGAUCGUACCUGUCAGCUAUGAAGCACACAACAUCCUAAGGAUUGACUCUUUCAUGGUGUCCUUCUGAAAGUUUUCGUCAGAAUUGGUUUCCAUCAAAAGGCUAAGGUAUGGUACAUUUUGUAUAUUGUAGUUUCAUAAAUGUUCGCUGUUUUUUCAAGCUGAAACUUGAAGGAUGCUUGUCGUGACAAUAGCUGUGUCAAAUAAAUACGAAAGACAGUGUAGCUAUCAAUUGAAGCUGUCGACUGCUAUGUAUAGCUGUUUCGUAAUCCAUAAAGGUAUAUUUUAAAUAUCUUGUUGAAAUCUAUGAACGAAUAGAUUAACAGUUUAUAGUGUAAUCAGUUACUUGAUAACCUUACUGCAGGUGUUUCUUAUUGUUUUGAUAUAUGAUUUAAAUCUCCAUUUAGUACAGGAACAGGUAAUCUUAAUAUUGAGUUGAGGGAAAAUAUCCAUUAACCAUCUCUUUCAAAAGUGUCAUUCAUGAGCGGUAACUCUGACAACACACAUGGGAUCUGCACACUUAAAUUGGUGUUCAAUACGUAUUGUUACGUUACUCUAGGCGUUGCAUUCCUAUGUUCCGUUCAAAGCUACAGUUGGGAGCAAACUUAAUUUGGUAACUAGUGCACUUCGUAGUGCACAUGUAGUGAACAAGGAAGUGCACUAGACAAACAUUGAAGUGCACUCUAGUUCACUUCAGUGUUUACUCCAUUGCACGAUGAUGUUAGCUCCAGUGCAUAACGAUGUGAACCCCAGUGCACUAGUGUUAACUAAAGUUUAAAAGACUGUAAUACAAAUUUCAAUAAUUGUUUAUAAUAAACUAGCUCACUCAUGAUUUCAUAAACAUUUUAUUGAGAAUUUCACUAUAUCUAUAAAAAAAUAAUCUCUGAUUAAUCAUAUUUCAACUGGACAUACACUUGUACAAAGAAAAACUGUACGCUAUAUAUUAUAUGUUGAUUACAGAAAAUAUAUAAAUAGUUGUAUUAUUAGGAAAAUAGUUAAAAAGAUAACCUGAUCAUAGUUUAAUUCCCAUCACAUUUAAUAUCAAUAUUGUAGUGUCAGGAUGGGGGAUCAGUAACUGUUAUGUGAUAUGGAUAAAUACUUUUUUUAUGAAAGGUUUCUCACUUUCAGGACAUCAAUAGAGUAAUUUCUUUGUUUUAUUAAAAAGGUCAAUGACUUCAUUAGUUCCGUCUCAUAUACAGCACUAAAACAUAUGUAUUACAAGUUUUAUACAAAAAAAACCAAAACAUUCCAGAUACAUCUUAUAUCAUUACAUUGCACUGUAUAAACACAAGUAACAGCUCAAGCUAUCGAUGUGGAAUUAAUUAAAGCCCGUUAAUCCAACGUUGUCUUCUGUUAGGAAAAUGAAGACAAAACAAUCCAUAAGUCAGUCUGAUUUAUAUUGCUUUGUUACAUAUGUAUACACGUCACGUACAUGUACAUGCUGAUUUUUUAAUAAGAAAAUCCACCCCCCCUACCGCCAACCCCUACCUGGGUCUACUGUGUUCCCCACAACAAUGUAGCAGGUAUACAGCUGGCCUGGUGUUACAUUAAUGAAUUACCAGUUGUUAGAAUGAUGACAACAUUCAUAGUUAAAGGGCGUAAACAUAUGUAGAUUAAGUUUUAUACAGG